rnacentral:rRNA from 1 species
UACGUAGGGGGCAAGCGUUGUCCGGAAUCAUUGGGCGUAAAGCGCGCGUAGGCGGACCUGCAAGUCGGGGGUGAAAGCCCGAGGCUCAACCUCGGAACUGCCUUCGAUACUGCGGGUCUCGAGUCCGGGAGAGGUGAGUGGAAUUCCUAGUGUAGAGGUGAAAUUCGUAGAUAUUAGGAAGGACACCAGUGGCGAAGGCGGCUCACUGGCCCGGUACUGACGCUGAGGCGCGAAAGCGUGGGGAGCAAACAGG